rnacentral:rRNA from 1 species
UACAGAGGUGGCAAGCGUUGUUCGGAAUUACUGGGCGUAAAGGGCGCGUAGGCGGCCUUCUAAGUCAGACGUGAAAUCCCCCGGCUUAACCUGGGAACUGCGUCUGAUACUGGGAGGCUUGAGUGUGGGAGAGGUGAGUGGAAUUCCUGGUGUAGCGGUGAAAUGCGUAGAUAUCAGGAGGAACACCUGUGGCGAAAGCGGCUCACUGGACCACAACUGACGCUGAUGCACGAAAGCUAGGGGAGCAAACAGG